ACCUGGGUGGCUCAGUUGGUUAAGCAUCUGACUUCCGCUCAGAUCAUAAUCUCACAGGUGGUGGGUUUGAGCCCCACCUCAGAUG
rnacentral:tRNA from 1 species